AUUAAACGCUGGCGGCCGACCUAACACAUGCAAGUCGCACGAGUGGCGGCCGGGUGGGUAAUGUCUGGGAAACUGCCUGAUGGUGGGGGAUAACUACUGGAAACGGUAGCUAAUACCGCAUACCAUCAGAUGUGCCCAGAUGGGAUUAGCUUGUUGGUGGGGUAACGGCUCACCCAGGCGACGAUCCCUCGCUGGUCUGAGAGGAUGACCAGCCACACUGGAACUGAGACACGGUCCAGACUCCGACGGGAGGCAGCAGUGGGGAAUAUUGCACAAUGGGCGCAAGCCUGACGCAGCCAUGCCUCGUGUAUGAAGAAGGCCUCCGGGUUGUAAAGUAUGUUUAGGGGGGAGGCUUUACGCGCAGAAGAAGCUCCGGCUAACGCCGCGCCAGCAGCCGCGGUAAUUC
rnacentral:rRNA from 1 species